UCUUUUGAAUUCUACAGACAUAAACUGUGUUCCAUUGUCAGAUACUAUCUUGUUUGGGAUGCCAAAUCUUGCAAACAAUUUGUGUAAAAAAUUUAUCACAGUUGAGGAGGUUGGUUUUUUACACUUACAAAUUUCAGGCCAUUCCGAAAAAAUUAUCAACUACCACUAAGUAGUAAGAACCAUUUAAAGGACCAGCAAAAUCGAUGUUUAGUCUCGAUCAU